CUCCAGUGCCAGCCACAAGCACCCCAGCCUCUACAACGCCAGUGACACACACUGCUGUUACUCCAACCCCAUCGACAAGCAGUGAGGCUUCUCCAACCCAAGCCAUAAGAACUGUGUCUACUCCAACCAUGGCGACAGGUACAUCAGUUACUUCAACAGCAAGAACAUGUGCUGUGGCUGCUACAACUCCAGCGACAUGCACUGCAGGUAUGCCAACCCCAGCAAUAAGCACUGCAGCUACUUCAGUGCCAGCCACCACUGCAGCUACUCCAACCCUAUCGACAAGCAGUGAGGCUUCUCCAACCCAAGCCAUAAGAACUGUGCCUACUACAACUCCAGCAACAUGGACUGCAGGUAUUCAAACCACAGAGAAAAAGCACUGAGGCUGCUCCAACACCAGCCACAAGUCCUGCAGCUCCUCCAACCCCAGAGACAGGGACUGCAGCUACUGCAUACCAACAACAGGCAUAAAUACUGCAGUUAUUCCAACCACAGCAACAAGGAGAGAAGCUGCUGCAGCGCCAACCACAGCAAUGCGGCUACUCCAAUGUGGGAGACUGACACUGCAGCUACUCCAACAUCAUUGAUAAGCAGUGAGGCUUCUCCAACCCAAGCCACAAGCACUGCAGGUACUCUAGGUACCGUGACAGAUACAUGGGCUGCUCGAACACUAAGGCCAGGCACUGUGGCUACUACAACCCUGUCAACAUGCACUGCGGCUAAUCCAGCUCCAACCACAAGCACUGCAGCUGAUCCACCACCAGUUUGCUGCUCCGCAGCUAGUCUAACUCUAGGAAGAAGCACUGCCACUACUCCAAGGCCUGCAACGUAUACAGUGGCUAUGUCAACCCCAGCCACAAGUUCUGCAGCUACUCCAGUGCCAGCCACAAGCACUGCAGCCUCUCCAAUGCCAGUGACACACACUGCGGCUACUCCAACCCCAUCAACAAGCAGUGAGGCUUCUCCAACCCAAGUCAUAAGAACUGUGUCUACUCCAACCAUGGCAACAGGCACAUCUGCUACUCCAAUGCCAAGGACAGGCGCUGUGGCUACUACAACUCCAGCACCAUGUACUGCAGGUAUUCCAAUGCCAGCCACAAGCACCGUGGCUGCUCCAAUCCCAGCCACAAGCACUGAAGCAGCUCCAACACCAGCAACAGGGACCGCAGCUACUGCGUGCCAACAAGAGGCAUAAAUGCUGCAGCUAUUCCAACCACUGCACCAAGCAGAGCAGCUACUUCAGUGCCAACCACAGCAAUGCGGCUACUCCAAUGUCUGAGAAAGACACUGCGGCUGUUCCACUCUCAUUGACAAGUAGUGAGGCUUCUCUAACCCAAGCCACAAGCACAGCAGGUGUUCCAAGUGCUGUGACAGACACAUCGGCCACUCGAACACCAAGGACAAGCACUGUGGCCUCUACAACCCAUCCACCCAUCAAGCCAUCAACAUGCACUGCGACUAAUCCAACCCCAGCCACAAGCACUGCAGCUACUCCAGUGCCAGCCACAAGCACUGCAGCUACUCCAGUGCCAGCCACAAGCACUGCAGCCUCUCCAACACCAGUGACACACACUGCUGCUACUCCAACCCAUCAACAAGCAGUGAGGCUUCUCUAACCCAAGCCAGAAGAACUGUGUCUACUCCAAGCAGGGCGAUAGGUACAUCAGUUGCUCCAACACCAAGGACAGGCACUGUGACUUCUACAACUCCAGCAAUAUGUACUGCAGGAAUUCCAACCCUGGCAACAAGUACUGCAGCUACUUCAGUGCCAGCCACCACUGCAGCUGCUCCAACCCAUCGACAAGCAGUGAGGCUUCUCCAACCUGAACCACAAGCACUGUGGCUACUCCAAGCACAGCGACAGCCACAUUGCCUACUCCAAGACCAAGGACAGGCACUGUGGCUAUUCCAGCCCCAGCAACAAGCACUGCGGCUUCUCCAACCCCAGUGACAGGCACUGCAGCUACUCCAAUCCCGGUAGCAGGCACUGCAGCUGAACUAAAGAACCAACGUGCGCCGUUAUCAGUCGCUCCUGUCCAGGAGGCUGGAAGAGCCCUGAGCAAUGACCAGCUUUGAACAACUGAACCAGGAGAUAGUUCCUGCAGCGGCCCUUGGGCCAGUCUGCUCUGGGCAAGAUAUGAAACGUGCUCUGCCACCGCAGCGGGGAGAAUGGUGCAUGUACAGAAUGUGCUGGGGAAACCAGUGUGGGGUAUUCCUGCCUCAGGCAAAGGCAAACCCAGUCAUGGGAUGGCUUCUGCUCAAGGACCUGGGUGCACCGAGGUGGUGGGUGACGCGGGAGGAUGGGCAAGUCCCGUCUGUGCCUCCACAUUUUCUACCUGUCAGGUGCUAAAAGCCAAUCUUUGACAGUAGUGCAGGAUUCUCCUGCAUUAACAAUUCUCUUUCAACUCUGUGGUAUCUGCAGUGACAAGGUAUUUGUUGGGUUAGUGCUUGGGUUUAAAUAGGUCUUCCAAAUAACUUUUUCACCUUGAAGAGAUACAUUUCUAGCACUAGUGGAUGUGAAGGUUCGAAUGGCUGUGCUUUGUAGUGAUGUGAAGCGAUGAAAUGUUUGUACUAGAAAUGUUUAAUACACUAAUUUUAACAGGUUCUGGAGGUGGAUCUCCUGCAGUGCCGCACUGUCAGUUGACACGUGCGGGUCAUACAUAGAAAUAAGUAACUUGUGUGAUCAGUUGUUUUUAGCUCUAUUCUUGUUAACGGGACCUGGGUGGGGUUUGUUUUUCCUCGAGGAUGUUCUUUUCUCCUCUGCUCAGGCAGCAGCGUUGCAGCAAUCUGCAAUAAAUGGGUUUUUUCACU